CCCCGGGCGGCGCGCGGCGCGUCGGUGCUCACGAAGCAGCCGUGCACGCCGGGCGCCACCAGCGUGACGGCCGCCGACUCGCCGCGCCACGUGAAGUGCGCUCCGUGUAGAAUGCGGCCCCUGGACCACACGACAAAUGGUUCGUAGUCCCGGUCCCCGGGGGUUCCCCGGGCCGGCGACGACUCCGACAGACUUACUCGACGGCCAGGGGCAGCAGGGCGGCGCCUUCCGGGCUCAGGACGACGUGGACCCCGCUCAGGUACUGCACCGGAUCCCCAGGGAGGUCCUGCGGGGCACGAGACUGUUCACUGCUCCUGAACUUAAUCCUGAUUAAUUAAUUAUAUACACGGCCGGUGGGCGCCACCAGACUACCGGACCAGUCCACCAGACUGGUGGUAAGACCUCUUGUGAGUCCGCACGGGUGGGUGCCACCGCCCCACCUAUUUCUGCCGUGAAGCAGUAAUGCGUUUCGGUUUGAAGGGUGGAGCAGCCGUUGUAACUAUACUGAGACCUUGGAACUUAUAUCUCAAGGUAGGUGGUGAUAUUUACGUUGUAGAUGUCCAUGGGCUCCAGCAGCGGUGGAUUUACACUAGGGGCAGUCGGGGAAGUGUUCAGGGCCGUAAAUUUUUUAGGACAGCAAAUUUUUGAAAGUAAUUUUUUUUUUAGUCUUAUCAAGAUAGCUCAAUAUAAUUAAUUAAUUCUAAUACUUAAUAAUUUUCUUUUUAAUUGAUAAUUGAAGAAAUUUAAUUCAUCCAUUAUUUCUGAAUUAUAAUUUUGGCACUUUCGGUAAAAAUUAAUAAUCAAAAUGAUUUAUUGAUCAAUUUAUUUCCUUGGAGAUUUAAAAUAAUAACCGAAUUUUCUAUUUUCUGUAAAAUUAAAGAAAUUUAAUUUAUUUUAUGUAAUAUAAUUCACCGUUAGUCAAAAUUUAUUAAAGAAUAUUUAUUUAUGUUUUUGGAAUAUAUGACAUAUGAUAAUGUUUCCGGAAUAAAUUAGUUAUUUUAAUUUUGAAAAAUAAAAUAUGUAAACUA